AGACUGUUACGCCAGAAUAUUGAAGUGAUUAUCACUGGGAAGCCUGCAGUUCUGCAAGGUAUUAUGUUAAAAAUACAAAAAGAGUGUAGGGUGCAUGACUGGUAUGCACGCUUUGCCGCAGAAGAAAAGAUAUAAAAAUUAUUGAGUAAAUUACAUAGGUGAUUCGUCAUACAUAACUAAAAAAUGAUAUAUGUUAUAGAGAGCAAAAUGGUAUUUUUUUUAAAGUUUCGAGAAUGUUAUUAAUGAAUUUAAUUGAAUAAAUGAAAUUGAUGAAAUAAAAGAAAAUUUCUAUCAAAUGCUAGAUUUUUCCACCGAUACAUAGUCGAGAGGAGGGAAUAUUGAUGAAACAGAUACUCGUACAUAUGGAGAGGUUUAGGCCGAUGUUGAGGGUAUUUAAACAGGCCUAAACCCUGGAAGCUCAUACGGUCGACAACAUGCAUACAACUCCAUGAGCCUAAGUGGUCAAUUUGAAUGGGGUCCAUUUCACUAGGGUUGGUCGACGGUGAAAUCAAUCGAAUUAGGUCUAGUCGACUUGUGAAGGAGUUCGGGUUAGAUAAAUGAUCCACCCUAAUUAGAGGAAUGAGAUCUAUUCGGCUUCUAGUUGUUCUCUAAAAAAACCUGUUAGACGAAUGACUAUUUUAUCCCUUGACAAUCCAACUAAGAAUCAGUUGGUCUUGUUGGAGAGCCAUCGGAGAUGUAAGCGCGACCUUGUCCUCGACGUACUCAAUCAAUCCAAUCCCACGAAGCAUAGCUGAAAACUGAACUUCCCAAGAGUAGUAAUUGGUUUUGUCAAGAAGAACACAUUUGACAUGCUUCAUCACGAUCUUUGAUGGAGACGGUGAGGAAGCAGCGACAUCGAUCGUCGUCGUUGGGAAGACUGCAGUAGAAGAAUGUGGAAAAGAAUCGGACAUUUCCGAUGAGCAAAUGAUACCAUACACGAUUUUACUUUUUAUAAAAAAUUUAAAAUAAAAUUUUAAAAAUAUAAAAUUACUUUUAAACGAAUUAGGAUUUUAACCACGGAAGAUAUCCGAAUCCCUUACGGAAAGGGGACGGACUUGAACGCCGACGUCACCGUAGGGACACCAUGGAUGCCGAGCGCGCAGGUCUUAGCAAAAUAAUAUCAAUUCUUCCACCUAUGCGACCAGUCAGGAAAAUCUUCGAUGAUCUUGAACUUCACUCGAGAGGCAACAAGGUGGCGAGCGGGGUUCAGACGGGAGAUGGAGAAAAGGAGACGGAAGAUCCGUUCGGUCGGGACGAGCUCCAGUUCAAAGCAAAGGAGCUCGAACAUGACCAUAUGUUCUAGGAUCGAAAGGAGAGAGUUGGGAGAAGGCAACCCCGGUAUAUAAGAAACGGGGAGAUGGGGGCCAAUAUCGACAUAACCCAUGUAGAGGGUGGUAUAGCUAGAGGGUGUGAGUUUUAUGAACCACAUUCGAGGUGUCUGUUUCAGCCCGUACAAACGGUACAAUAUUGUUGAUGUGGAAACUUUUCAUCAACAAAAACUAAGGGAUGAGA
rnacentral:lncRNA from 1 species